GCAGAAUGCAGGGCCCAGCAGCGGCAGCCAGGGCCUUCACAGCCCACUACUGGCCCCUCAAUCUACUGCAGGCUACAGUGGAGUGAGGCUCCCUCUCAGCAGUCCCAAGAUGGAGGGCUUCCCCCGAGGCUGUGCGACCGCCAAGAAGGACCGAGGGCAUCACAGAACUGACCACGCGCAGCAAAAAGGGGUGCCGUACUGCAGACUGUCCCCUCCCCUGGAGAACGGCCUGAAGACGCCGGCCGAGCCCAAGGCGCGGGGUGGGGGCUCCGGCUCCGGUCCUCGUCCGGACAAGGCCUCUGGGCACCCCGCCCCCACCCCCACCUCCACCUCUACCAGCAGGGCCAUUCAGGAGCCGCGUGGAGCGCCAGCCUCCAGCAGCCGGAGGUCCACCAACAGCGCCAUCACCAGCUCCUCCUCCUCCUCCUCUUCCCCCGGGCGGCCCGACCCGGACAGCGGCCCCCAGGAGCCCCCAGAGAAGGCCCGGGGGAGCCGGCCCAAGGCCACGUGGCGGCCCGUGAGGGAGGUGCUGAACGUGGACAGCGUGCUCAGCGACAUGGAGCUGCGGCGCCACCCGACCCUGCCGCACCACCUCCUGGGGUCCCAGGGCCCCACCCAGGCAUGCCGACCGGCCCAGCCGUCCCCCCAGUGCAGCCGGGCGACCCGCGAGCCGGUCCAGGCCCGAGGGGGGGACGGCGAUCCGGCUCACACCCGAGGCGGGGAGCGGGAGCAGCUCCACCCCCGAGGGGAGAGCCGCGACCCGGCCCAGACCCGCGGUGGGGGGGGGGACGGUGACCGGCGCCAGCUGCAGCAGCAGCAGAAGUGUCUGAUGACCAUCUACGAGGACGAGCAGCGUCUGGAGACGGAGAGCCACAGCUCCGUGGAGUCGGAG
ensembl:lncRNA